UAUCUCCUACAGCGUUCGAGGAUGUGCUGGGUGUUUCCUGAACCUAUAUUUACCCCGGGAGCUGAUUUCUACAUUGGUGUGCAUACCCGUUUAUUCGGGGAGCCUGAUAAGUAGAUUGAGUUCCCACUUGAACCGUCGGUUCAAGGACGAUAGCGUGUUACGGCGCAAGUGGGAGAUAC
rnacentral:other from 1 species